UUGUUUAUGUAAUUGAACACACAAGCAUGCAAAAAAUAAGUGAAACAAACACCAGUAAAGACAGCUUUAAUGGCAAAAGCGAAAUCUUAAAACUACUUUGAUUCGAAACACGAAGAUUUGUUUCAGUGCGGAAAAGAUCAUUUUGAACAUGGGUCGAAGAAUUCUUGCCGACAAAUGUUGAGUGUUUUCUUACUUUGAGUGGCCCACAAGGUGUCAGAGAGACUGCAGCGGUCAAAGCUUAGGUAAAUCUCGUGAUAUUAAGUUAUUUGCUUGGUCAAAUAAGCAUCAAGAAAAUACUAAACACAAAUAAUGGCAUGUUCUGCUUUGGAGAUCAGAUAACCACUAGCGAAACUCAAGCUCAGUCCUUAUGUCUACUUCUCUUACAAUCUUCAAAAUAUUUUUAUAUUCAAAUGGUAAAAGAAUGAUACUUAUUGAGGAGUUUCCAAAUGUGAGUAAGGGAUCCAACCAUUAUUCAUUGCAUUCUAAGGUAUGCAUUUUUUUCAUGCGUUUGUUUUUACUUUAUAUUGAAAAUUCAUGAAAAAAUAUUUUUC
rnacentral:lncRNA from 1 species